rnacentral:misc_RNA from 1 species
GGAAGUAAAAUCGUAACAAGGUCUCCGUUGGUGAACCAGCGGAGGGAUCAUUACCGAGUUUACAACUCCUAAACCCAAUGUGAACGUUACCAAACUGUUGCCUCGGCGGGGUCACGCCCCGGGUGCGUCGCAGCCCCGGAACCAGGCGCCCGCCGGAGGAACCAACCAAACUCUUUCUGUAGUCCCCUCGCGGACGUUAUUUCUUACAGCUCUGAGCAAAAAUUCAAAAUGAAUCAAAACUUUCAACAACGGAUCUCUUGGUUCUG